AGUUGUUUCCAUUGAGAGAAAAACUUGUGAGACUCGGAAAUGAAGUGAAAUCAAGCUGAUGAAGUGUGCCUGAGAGACCUGCAUCAGAAAGAUUGAUCUCUGAAAUUGUUCCACCAGCAUUGCAGACAAUAGACGUCCAAUUGCACAAGUUUCCGUGAUUGGAAAUGGACCAUGAAUCCAAGAAAGAAGCAGAAGGUAAGUUCAUCUUCCAUUUGACAAGAGCUUGAGCUUCAGUUUUUGCUGCUGAUGUGAUUGUCAAUGGAAGUGAAAAAAGAAGAAGCACUAGUAGAAUGUAAAGGAAGGUACUGUAAAAAGUUUU
rnacentral:misc_RNA from 1 species